rnacentral:tRNA from 1 species
GGGUGAUUAGCUCAAAUGGUAGAGCGCGCGCUUUGCAUGCGCGAGGUAGCGGGAUCGAUGCCCACAUCCUCCA